rnacentral:rRNA from 1 species
AAGAUAUUAAAGGUCGAACAGACCUAUAAAUUAAGCGGCUGCACCUAAUUAUAAUCUUAAUCCAACAUCGAGGUCGCAAGCCUUCUUGUAAAUUUGAACUCUGAAAGAAGAUUACGCUGUUAUCCCUAAGGUAACUUAGUCUAACAAUCACUAAAAAUGGAUCCUAUAAACCAUAAAUUAAUGUAGUAUAAAUAAAAAAGUUAAUUAUAUAUUUUUGUCACCCCAACAGAAUAAUAAGCCAAAUAACCAAAAAAAUAAAACAAAAUAUGAUCAAUAAGUAUAUUAUAAAGCUCUAUAGGGUCUUCUCGUCUUCCAAGUAAAUUUUAGCCUUUUAACUAAAAAGUUAAGUUCUAAUGAAAAUUAAAUGAGACAGUCAGCACCUCGUCAAACCAUUCAUGCCAGCCUUCUAUUAAAAGACUAAUGAUUAUGCUACCUUUGCACGGUCAAAAUACCGCGGCCGUUAAAAAAUUUAUUCACUGGGCAGGUCAGACUUCCUAUAAAAACAAGAAGAC